GGAUAACAUACCGAAAGGUAUGCUAAUACGGGAUAAUAUAUUUGAGAGGCAUCUCUUAAAUAUCAAAGGUGAGCCAGUACAGGAUGGACCCGCGUCUGAUUAGCUAGUUGGUAAGGUAACGGCUUACCAAGGCGACGAUCAGUAGCCGACCUGAGAGGGUGAUCGGCCACAUUGGAACUGAGACACGGUCCAAACUCCUACGGGAGGCAGCAGUGGGGAAUAUUGCACAAUGGGCGAAAGCCUGAUGCAGCAGCGCCGCGUGAGUGAUGAAGGCCUUCGGGUCGUAAAACUCUGUCCUCAAGGAAGAUAAUGACGGUACUUGAGGAGGAAGCCCCGGCUAACUACGUGCCAGCAGCCGCGGUAAUACGUAGGGGGCUAGCGUUAUCCGGAUUUACUGGGCGUAAAGGGUGCGUAGGCGGUCUUUCAAGUCAGGAGUGAAAGGCUACGGCUCAACCGUAGUAAGCUCUUGAAACUGGGAGACUUGAGUGCAGGAGAGGAGAGUGGAAUUCCUAGUGUAGCGGUGAAAUGCGUAGAUAUUAGGAGGAACACCAGUUGCGAAGGCGGCUCUCUGGACUGUAACUGACGCUGAGGCACGAAAGCGUGGGGAGCAAACAGGAUUAGAUACCCUGGUAGUCCACGCUGUAAACGAUGAGUACUAGGUGUCGGGGGUUACCCCCCUCGGUGCCGCAG
rnacentral:rRNA from 1 species